GAUGAACGCUGACAGAAUGCUUAACACAUGCAAGUCAACUUGAAUUUGGGUUUUUAACUUAGAUUUGGGUGGCGGACGGGUGAGUAACGCGUAAAGAACUUGCCUCACAGCUAGGGACAACAUUUAGAAAUGAAUGCUAAUACCUGAUAUUAUGGUUAUAGGGCAUCCUAUAAUUAUGAAAGCUAUAAGCACUGUGAGAGAGCUUUGCGUCCCAUUAGCUAGUUGGAGAGGUAACAGCUCACCAAGGCGAUGAUGGGUAGCCGGCCUGAGAGGGUGAACGGCCACAAGGGGACUGAGACACGGCCCUUACUCCUACGGGAGGCAGCAGUGGGGAAUAUUGGACAAUGGACCGAGAGUCUGAUCCAGCAAUUCUGUGUGCACGAUGAAGUUUUUCGGAAUGUAAAGUGCUUUUCAGUUGGGAAGAAAGAAAUGACGGA
rnacentral:rRNA from 1 species